ACCUCGCCGUCCCGCCCGCCG
rnacentral:miRNA from 1 species